rnacentral:lncRNA from 1 species
GAAGGCUGCAUACUUUUAUACAAUACAAAGCAUAAAAGGGCUUGGGCCAGCCCAAUAUAUGAUACAAGCCCAAAAACAAAAUAAAAAGCUUGGGCAAGCCCAAAACAUAAUAUAAGCCCAAAUAAAAUACUAACUAGAUAGUCCAAACUAGACGUCCUCAUCAACUCUUCCGGGGUGGGAGAAACAAAAACUCGACUCUGUCGAGGGAAUUACUCAUAAAAGGUUGCAGUCAGUCACCCAACCAUAAGCUGAGUGGUUGGACAAACGUCUUUCGACGUCCAUAUACACGUGUGAUAGGUGGUCUGGGCAAUAGAAGAUCAUGCUGACUCCUAUAUAGCUCCAACAAGUCAGGAUCAAGUUGUUGGAGUGUUUCUUUAGGGAUCCAUGUGCAAUCAGAGUCAGGUCGUCCUACCGAACGAAUAAGAAAACGCUGAAUUUCUCCAUCAUUGGUCAACAUAAACUGUUCAUCUAAAAUAGCAUUAAUCUUAUCUUUGGGUAUUGUGACAGGGGGUGUUGAAAGUAGGGAUAACAAUAGGUUCAGGUUGAAAGUCAACAGAUGGGGGUAAAAAAGGGUCAUCAGAGGGCUUAAAAUGGUCUUUAUAAGCAACUAAAUCCUCAACAUUGAAAGUGGAGUGGUAGCUAAAAUGUGAUGGAAGAUCAAUGACAAACGCAUUUGGACCAACACACUUUAAGAUUUAAAAGGACCAGCGCUACGGGAUUGCAAUUUGGAAGCGGAUCCAGAUGGACGUCGUUCCAGUCUAAUUCGGAUCAUCACAUAAUCCCCAAUUUUAAACUCAACACGUCGUUUAUGCAAAUCAGCUCGAAGUUUAUAUGAUGCAUUACUUGCCUCUAGUUGUUUAUUGAUCUCAAUAUACAAGUCAUGAAGAUGUUGUACAAAUGCCUCAGCUGACACAGAC